rnacentral:rRNA from 1 species
UACGAAGGGGGCUAGCGUUGCUCGGAAUCACUGGGCGUAAAGCGCACGUAGGCGGACUCUUAAGUCAGCGGUGAAAUUCCACAGCUCAACUGUGGAACUGCCAUUGAUACUGGUUAGCUUGAGUACAGAUGAGGUAGGCGGAAUUGACAGUGUAGCGGUGAAAUGCUUAGAUAUUGUCAAGAACACCUAUUGCGAAGGCAGCUUACUAAGCUGUAACUGACGCUGAGGCACGAAAGCGUGGGGAUCAAACAGG